CAGGCGCCACCCCUUUUGUCGGUUUGUCCCAGAAAGGCUUUUUAGUUCGCGCAAAUAAUUCCACCUCACCCACUUCCAUUUUUUUCUAGGUUUAAAGAGAAACUUAGGAACAAUUGCAUUAAUUAGAAGCAUCCAGAAUGUCCACAAACAUCAGCUUGCGCACUGCAAAGAAAUAUCCGGCGAGCAGCACACAUGCUUCAUUUGUCCGAGUUAUGGAUGCUGGUUUAUUUGUUUGUCUUCAGCUCUGUCUGCAGCAAUGUACAUCAAGCCAUCGCCGCCUUGACUUCCCCACCUUGAUGGACUGAGAGUAAAGUAAACCCUUUCUCCGUAACUAAACUUCGUCACAUGAUUGUAUCAUGGUGACGAGGAAGGAAACCAAGACAGUUUAAAAUGUUUUCUUCUGAAUUAUGUAUCAUAAUUAUAAAUAUGUAUAAAUAUGUAUUAUUAUGUAUCAUACAUUAUAAAUAUGUGCACACACGGACAGGCAGACACACACCACACACACACACAGACACACAUCCAUAUAUUUUGGAGAUAGAGUUUUGCGGAACCCAGACUUAUCUUUACCUUGCUAUAUAGCCAAGGCUGGCCUUGAACUCCUGAUCCUCCUGUCUCUACCCUCCAAGUACUGGGAUUACAGUACCACUAUGCUUAGCUCUUACUAUUAUUAAGAAAAAUUCCAAGACCUUUUUUGGAUUUAUUUUUGUUUGUGUAUAUGUAUGUGUGAUUGUGUGGGUGUACACCACGUACAUGGUUGUGCCCUCAGAGGCUAAAAGAGGGUAUCAGACCUUCUGAAGCUGAAGUUACAGGGCAUUAUGAGUUACCCAAUAUGGGUACUGGGAACCAAACACGGGCCCUCUGUGAGAGCAACACUACUCCUAUCUGCUGAGUCAUCUCUCCAGCCCCCUGUUAUUAUUUUGAACAUACUUUUGGAUUGCCAAUAAGAAUGAAUAUAUAUUCUUUUCUUCUUUUUUCCUUCUUUCCUUUCAUUCUUUCUCCUCUCUUUGGUGAGAUGGGGCCUCACUGUGCUGCUAGGCUGGCCCCAACUACAGGUUCAGUGAUUCUCUUGCUUCACCACAUGACUGUCUGGAACAAAGGUGGACUCUACUCCCCCGGCAGUACUGACUGUCCUGUUGUCCUGUGCACUUCGCUGGCCUUUUUGACUUCCUCUGUGGAUUUCCUGUGCUACUUUUGUAAAAAAACAAAAAACAAAAAACAAAAAAAACCAAACCUUCCCCGUGCCAUUUGUUAAACUUCAUAGCUUUAUGAAAGAUUUACUUAUUUUUUAUUUUAUUUUGCUUGCGUAUAUAUGUACAUUUGUAUACUGUGUGCACACUCAUAGAGGCCAGAAGAGAGCAUUGGGUGGAUCCCCUAAAACUGGAGUUCUAGACAAUAUGAGCCUCUAUGUGGCUACUGGGAACUGAACCUCCUCUCCGUUCUCUGGGACAAGAAAAUUCCCAAGAGCCCUUAACCUCUGAGCCAUAUUGCCAGCUUCCAGCUGUGUGUGUGUAUGUGUGUGUGAGUCUGUGUGUGUGUGUGAGUGUGAAUGUGUGUGUGUGCGCAUGUGUGAAUGUGUGAGUGUGUAUGUGAGUGUGUGGUGUGUGUAUGUGUGUGUGUGUGGGUGAGUGUGUGUGUAUCUGUGUGUGUGUGUGUGGUGCGUGUGUGUAUAUGUGUGUGUGAGUGUGUGUGUGGAUGAGUGUGAAUGUGUGUGUGGUGUGAGUGUGUGUGUAUAUGAGUGUGUGUGAGAGUGUGUGUGGGUGAGUGUGUGUGUAUGUGUGUGUGUGGGUGAGUGUGAAUGUGUGUGUGAGUGUGUGAGAUCUGUGUGUGGUGUGUGUGUAUGUGUGUGUGUGGUGUAUGUGAGUGUGUGUAUAUGAGUGUGUGUGAGUUUGUGUGUGAGUGUGUGGUGCGUGUGUUUGUAUGUGUGUGUGUUAAUGACAUAGACUUGUCUUACUUAUUUCUCCUGUUUGCUCUUAACUUGUGAAUGUUCUCUCUUUACCAGUUUGUGGCCCAAAGCUGAGAUUAGACACAGAAAUCUCUGUGAUGAAGGAAAAAGGAGCCUGGGCCAAUGGAUUAGCGCAGCCUGUGGCGUGGGAGGCAGCGCUGUGCUGCUUCUCUGGCAGCCUCCACCACACACUGUCUUUGCUACUCCUCUUCUUUCCACUGAUGUCAGACUAGAAGUGUGUGUUGUUGUUAUUUUUCCUUGCAUUGCUGGGGAUGGAGCCCAGGACUAGGCAAAUCUUACUGAUGAGCCCAACAACCUUACUGCCUUAAAAAGUUUUUUUUUUUAACAAUUAUUUAUUUAUUUAUUUAUUUAUGGCGAGCACGUGUGUGUGUGUGUGUGUGUGUGUGUGUGUGUGUAUGUGUGAUAUGUACACAUGCCAUGGUGUGUGCAAAGGGGCUAGAAGACAAUUUUUGGGAGUUGGUUUACUCCAUCUCUCAUGUGGGUCCUGGGGAUUGAACUAAAUGCCUUAACUUGUUGAGCCAUCUCACCAGCUAGCCAUACAGGUACAUCAUAUGUUCACUGUCUUGUAUCCCCUAGCCUAGUACCUGGCAUAUGGUAGCUAUUCGAUGAAAAUGUACUGAAUGAACAAAUGGUGAAUAUAUAAAUAAGUAUAUACAAAGAAGGUGGGAAAGAAAAAAGCCAGGACAGAUCCCCAAGGACGUGCUGAAGCGCUGGGAGCAUUGUGUGAUGCCGUCUCUCCCAGGCAGGCGGAGCCAGUCGUGUUCCAAGGGCUCUACCCAUGUGGAGCAGUAUCUACCAGCACAUUUCUCACACAGCAAAUAAACCCAGUUAUUUUAAAACGCAAGGCCAACAUCAUGAAACUCACAAUUGCCUCUGAAAAUUAUGUUCCCUUCCAAGCCUACGCAGUUGUCCUGGCUGCUGAUUUUUCUGUCGAGAGUGGAGUUUGAUUGUGUGGGAACAGCCGUCCCAGGGAGAAGUAACUGGGCCCACAGCCCAUCUGAAGGCUGGUAGAUGUGGAGAACUCCAGGACACAGUGAAUCCUUUCUUUGUCCCUGCAGUGAUAGCAAAGUGAGGGGAGGUGGGCAUCCUCCUAGCUGUCUGAGAAUCUUCAUCCAUUCUCCGGAGCUCAGGCCCAGCACGGAUCUAAUAAAAAUAAGGUUCUCUUGUGUUUUGAAAAAUGCACAUACAGCAGGACAGGAAGGAAAACUACAGAUAGACAUCGCUGUUGGUUAACUGUUUAUCUGGGCAGGUGGAGGAUAGGAAAGAACUUGUCCCAGUGCAGGAGGGAAAUGGUUUCACCAAACCAACGUUACAUUACAGCCCCACUGGGAAGCCUUGUGCUUAUGAAGUCAAGUUCCUUUGUCAACGGUUACAUAAGUCUAAUCAGGGUGUAGGUUUCCGAACCCUAUUCGCACACAGGUGCUUUUCAGUCGCUGUGAUUUAUUUCUCAAUAACACUUCCUUUAAAAGAAAAUAGCUUCAAAAAAUUCUGUCAUUCUCCUUCCUGUAUAAUUUCCAAGGGCAGAAAAUUUCAACCGAAAUCGAGUAAACACAUGUAAUUUCACAUUUUUUAAGAUCUGAUUUUUUUUUUUGAAUUACAGUUGAGCCUUAUUG